AAGCAUAUAAGUAAGCGGAGGACAAGAAACUAAACAGGAUCCCCAUAGUAAUGGCGAAUGAACCGGGAUAAACUCAGCAUGGAAAUUGGGGCCUUUGGCUUUGACUUGUAAUCUGGUGAGGCAUUGCCAACAGAGGCGCAUAUGUAAGUCUCUUGGAAAAGAGCAUCAACGAAGGUGAGAGUCCUGAUUGUCAUGUGCAGCCCCCCUGUGCACGGUGUGCCUUCUAAGAGUCACGUUCCUUGGGAUUGGAGCGCAAAUUGGGUGGUAACUUUCAUCUGAAGUUAAACAAUGGUUUGGGACCGAUAGGAAACAAGUACCAUGAGGGAAAGGUGAAAAGGACUUUGGAAAGAGAGUUAAAAGUGCCUGAAAUUGCUGAAGGGGAAGCGAAUGGAACCAGUAGUGCUGGGUGAGAUUGUCACAUGCCACAAGGAUUGGUUGCUGCCACAACGCAAGUGUGAUGGCGAUGUGUGAAUUGCUAGUGUGUGGUGUGUCUUACCUAGUGGGUCAUUGUGGGUUUAUGCAUUAAGAUAAGUCAAAGCAAGCGGGAGCAAGUUUACGAGUUUGUGAAUGUGUGUUGUUAUGCUUGUGCGUAAGCUUUAGUGUUUGUCUGGCUGCAGGGCUGUCCAUCCUCAAGCAGGACUUGUGGUUGCGAUGAGCAUAACCUUCUGCACAGAUAUUGACGAAAGG
rnacentral:rRNA from 1 species